AGUCGAGGGGCAUCGGGAGGGAAGCUUGCUUUCCUCGCCGGCGACCGGCGCACGGGUGAGUAACACGUAUGCAACCUGCCCUCUUCAGGGGGACAACCUUCCGAAAGGGAGGCUAAUCCCGCGUAUAUCGGUUUCGGGCAUCCGAGAUCGAGGAAAGAUUCAUCGGAAGAGGAUGGGCAUGCGGCGCAUUAGCCUGACGGCGGGGUAACGGCCCACCGUGGCGACGAUGCGUAGGGGUUCUGAGAGGAAGGUCCCCCACACUGGUACUGAGACACGGACCAGACUCCUACGGGAGGCAGCAGUGAGGAAUAUUGGUCAAUGGGAGAGAUCCUGAACCAGCCAAGCCGCGUGAGGGAAGACGGCCCUAUGGGUUGUAAACCUCUUUUGUCGGAGAACAAAACCCGGGACGUGUCCCGGACUGCGUGUACCCGAAGAAAAAGCAUCGGCUAACUCCGUGCCAGCAGCCGCGGUAAUACGGAGGAUGCGAGCGUUAUCCGGAUUUAUUGGGUUUAAAGGGUGCGUAGGCGGUCCGUUAAGUCAGCGGUAAAAUUGCGGGGCUCAACCCCGUCGAGCCGUUGAAACUGGCAGACUUGAGUUGGCGAGAAGUACGCGGAAUGCGCGGUGUAGCGGUGAAAUGCAUAGAUAUCGCGCAGAACUCCGAUUGCGAAGGCAGCGUACCGGCGCCAGACUGACGCUGAGGCACGAAAGCGUGGGGAUCGAACAGGAUUAGAUACCCUGGUAGUCCACGCAGUAAACGAUGAAUGCUGGUUGUCCGGGUCGAAUGAGAUCUGGGCGGCGAAGCGAAAGCGAUAAGCAUUCCACCUGGGGAGUACGCCGGCAACGGUGAAACUCAAAGGAAUUGACGGGGGCCCGCACAAGCGGAGGAACAUGUGGUUUAAUUCGAUG
rnacentral:rRNA from 1 species